AUCACUGGCCAAGUCUUUCUCUCAGUUAGAGAGCGCCAAGCAAACCUUCAACUUUGAAGAGUACAACUUCUCCCAGUCCACCUUAGAGCAGGUGUUUAUGGAGUUUGCCAAGGAGCAGGAGAACGAGGAGGACGAGGUGGGCUCCCUCAGCACAACUUUCCAGUGGCAGCGGCUGCGCCAGGACGGCUCCGUCUCGGUCAACCACACAGACAGCAUCGUGCACCAGCUCUGAACUCCACCCAAGAGGGAGCUGCCCGGUAACUGACCAGAAAC